UACAGAGGGGGCAAGCGUUAUUCGGAAUUAUUGGGCGUAAAGCGCGCGUAGGCGGCCACUUAAGUCGGAUGUGAAAGCCCCUGGCUCAACUGGGGAAGUGCACCCGAAACUGAAUGGCUUGAGUGCGAAAGAGGGUCGCGGAAUUCCCGGUGUAGAGGUGAAAUUCGUAGAUAUCGGGAGGAACACCGGUGGCGAAGGCGGCGACCUGGGUCGACACUGACGCUGAGGCGCGAAAGCGUGGGGAGCAAACAGG
rnacentral:rRNA from 1 species